rnacentral:rRNA from 1 species
UACGGAAGGUAGCAGUGGGGAAUAUUGCACAAUGGGCGAAAGCCUGAUGCAGCUAUGCCGCGUGUAUGAAGAAGGCCUUAGGGUUGUAAAGUACUUUCAUCGGGGAGGAAAAAACAAAACUAAUAAUUUUAUUUCUUGACGUUACCCGAAAAAGAAGCACCGGCUAACUCCGUGCCAGCAGCCGCGGUAAUACGGAGGGUGCUAGCGUUAAUCAGAAUUACUGGGCGUAAAGAGCACGUAGGUGGUUUUUUUAAGUCAGAUGUGAAAUCCCUGGGCUUAACCUAGGAACUGCAUUUUGAAACUGAAAUACUAGAGUAUCGUAGAGGGAGGUAGAAUUCUAGGUGUAGCGGUGAAAUGCGUAGAUAUCUGGAGGAAUACCUGUGGCGAAAGCGGCCUCCUAAACGAAUACUGACACUGAGGGUGCGAAAGCGUGGGGAGCAAACAGGGAUUAGAUACC